rnacentral:rRNA from 1 species
GGGGAAUUUUGCGCAAUGGGCGAAAGCCUGACGCAGCGACGCCGCGUGGGUGAUGAAGGCCUUCGGGUUGUAAAGCCCUGUGGGGAGGGAAGAAUAAGGGGUGACGAAUAGGCACUCUGAUGACGGUACCUCCUUAGCAAGCACCGGCUAACUCUGUGCCAGCAGCCGCGGUAAGACAGAGGGUGCAAACGUUGUUCGGAAUUACUGGGCGUAAAGCGCGUGUAGGCGGCAGCGUAUGUCGGGUGUGAAAGCCCUUGGCUCAACCGAGGAAGUGCACUCGAAACUGCGCAGCUUGAGUUCCGGAGAGGAUGGUGGAAUUCUCGGUGUAGAGGUGAAAUUCGUAGAUAUCGAGAGGAACACCUGUGGCGAAGGCGGCCAUCUGGACGGAAACUGACGCUGAGACGCGAAAGCGUGGGGAGCAAAC